UUCCACAAAUUUUUAUUUAUUUUUUAAUUAUUUAUUCAUAAGACAUAUAUUUCAUGAAAACCAGAUAAGCACUGAUGUGUAACCGUUCAAACUUUUUCCCAUAAAACAUUGCAGAAAAUGAACAAUUAGGCUACAAAAACUUUGUCUGGUUCUAGUUUCUUACAUUUGAGGUUGUUGUCUCAAAAUUCUCUUAUAAGUUAUACACACCCUUUGGCUAUAAUCAAAAGCCAAUUAUACACUCUACAGAGUGUGCACAUAAUCAUCAACUUGUUCUUCAUUCUUUCCACUGCAAAUUCAGAUAUUUCCUCAAAACCUGAAGUAGAUUCGUUAUAAGUAAGCAGAAGCUUUGUUUACUGCAAAGCUUAUAAAAGAUUGUGGAGAAUGAGUCAGCCAAAAAUUAAGCGCAGAGUCGGUAUAUAUGAGGUUGGAAGGACCAUUGGUGAGGGAACAUUUGCAAAGGUGAAAUUUGCAAGGAACUCUCAGACAAAUGAACCCGUGGCUCUCAAAAUUCUUGACAAAGAGAAAGUUCUCAAGCACAAGAUGGCUGAGCAGAUUAAGCGAGAAAUUGCUACGAUGAAGUUAAUCAAGCAUCCGAAUGUUGUUCGACUAUAUGAGGUCAUGGGAAGCAGGACAAAAAUAUAUAUUGUUUUGGAGUUUGUGACUGGCGGGGAGCUUUUCGAUAAAAUUGUAAACCAUGGACGAAUGAGUGAACAUGAAGCGCGUAGGUAUUUCCAGCAGCUUAUAAAUGUUGUUGAUUAUUGUCAUAGUAGGGGUGUCUAUCACAGAGACUUAAAGCCAGAAAAUUUGCUAUUAGAUAGUUUUGGUAACCUUAAAGUCUCCGAUUUCGGGUUGAGUGCACUCUCCCAGCAAGUUAGAGAUGACGGACUUCUCCAUACGACAUGUGGAACUCCGAAUUAUGUUGCUCCAGAGGUCCUUAAUGAUAGAGGCUAUGAUGGAGCAACUGCGGACUUGUGGUCAUGUGGAGUGAUCCUCUUUGUAUUGGUUGCAGGUUACUUGCCUUUUGAUGACCCUAAUCUUAUGGAACUGUAUAAAAAAAUCUCGUCUGCUGAUUUUACUUGCCCUCCAUGGCUUUCUUUCAGUGCGAGGAAAUUGAUAACUCGAAUUUUGGAUCCCAAUCCCAUGACUGUAAGAAACAACUUUUGAUUAUCUGUCUGCUACUUAUCAUGUAAAAUUGGUUGUUUGUAAUCCAGUGUUAUCAACUGUGGAUCGUAGAAAAUAGCGGUUGAUCAAAUUCCGCUACGCAACUAUGCUAUAGCGCAAUUAUAACCGCUAUUUGACAACAUUUUGUACUAAAUAGCGUAUUGAUGAACAAUAGUGACUUGUUAAACUUACACUACACUAUAGUGCUGCUAUAUAAUAUAGUUGUAAUCUACUGAUCUUAAGAGCUAAGUUUGCUCCGUGUCGCCUGCAUCGGUUCGAUUCCAUGGUUAAAAGUGAAAACAUAAAAUGUUUUCUCAAACCAAACAGACCCCAAAAUUGUUGGUUAUUGCCUUUGAAUUGUGCAAGGAAAACAGAAAAUUGGUCUUGUUACAGGACAUUAAGCCAGGCUUGAUGCUUGCUGCGCCAGGCUCAAUGAAAAUGCAGGUUUGGGUGAUGCUCUCUGCCAUCUGAGCCAGGCUUGGCCUGGGCUGCGCCAGGCUUGGAGCGGGAUUAUAUAUAUCCCCUGUUUUAUGUUUUCAGCCGCAAGAGGGAGGAAAAAUGUGAUUUUUAGGGUUCUUUCUCCAACAUGAAGGCUAGAGUGUUAGAGGGUUUCACUUGGGUAAUCUCUAGGGUUGGGGAAGUGAUUGUAACACCUUAGAAACACUUAUUGAUUGAAUCUCUUGGUCACGGGAAGAGAUUCGGAAAAAUGGUAGAUUUAGGAAAACUCUAAAUCUUGUAACUCUUUGUGGUUGAAUCUUUGUAAUCAAGUUGAAUCAUUCGUAGUGGAACGGAGAGCUCUCUCUCCCCCAGACUAGGUCAUUAUUGGACCGAACUGGGUAAAAAAUUUCAUCGUGUUCUUUAUCGCUUUCAUCGUUUAUUGUUGAUUUAUUAAUUAUUGCUCAUCCAUUUUGUUUUGGUUGCUUCAAUUCAUUUGUCCCACACAUCAAAAGUAUUAUUGGUGUGGUUUUCGAUCCGAAUUCACAACAAUUGGCGCCCACCGUGGGGCAAAGGGUUAAUUGGAUUAAGUACCAUGGAUUCAAAAUGGGUUAUCGAGGGACUUUCCGGAAACAAUUUGGAAUUGUGGAAAGUGAAUAUGGGAGCAAGAGCAAUUUUAAGGUUCGGGAUGAUGGAUAAAACACGACGUGUUGUUAUCCGGUGCCUCGGAGGUAAAAAUCUAAUGGAGAUCGCGAUGGUGAAGAACAAGAUCGGCCUGGAGAGGCGGUGGAAGAAUACUCAACAUCGGCCUGGAGAGGCGGUGGAAUAAUACUCGGUUACAAGGUGGAGGACAUAGUGGAUAUACCGGUUUAAGGCUUUGGUGGAGGAAUCUCGGUUUGAGGUGGAGGUACACCAAAGUGGUAUGGCUAUGGAGACCUUGUGUGGAAGCAACGGUGAUCAAGCUUGGUAACUUGUUAAACUGCGGGAGGUAGUUAGACACAAGGAGAGUUUGAGGUUGCAGCUUGUGAAACCACCUAAAAUUCCAAGGUUGGUUGGAGGCAAGUAAAUCUUCAAGAGUACGGAAAGAUACAAUCCGGGGUUUGAAGAGGGUACGGUGUAGCUUGUGGGUUGUCCUAAAAAUCCAAGGGCAAUUGGAGGCAAGCAUUUUUCGGGAGUACGGAGAGGUAGACUCCGGGGGCCGAAUAGGGGUGGUGUAAACUUGGAGAGAGCGGCAUGAUGGUUGGUGGGAAGUUGGCAUCACCAUCAAUUUAAAGGCAAGGUGGAGAUUGUUGGUUAUUGCCUUUGAAUUGUGCAAGGAAAACAAAAAAUUGGUCUUGUUACAGGACAUUAAGCCAGGCUUGAUGCUUGCUGCGCCAGGCUCAAUGAAAAUGCAGGUUUGGGUGAUGCUCUCUGCCAUCUGAGCCAGGCUUGGCCUGGGCUGCGCCAGGCUUGGAGCGGGAUUAUAUAUAUCCCUUGUUUUAUGUUUUCAGCCGCAAGAGGGAGGAAAAAUGUGAUUUUUAGGGUUCUUUCUCCAACAUGAAGGCUAGAGUGUUAGAGGGUUUCACUUGGGUAAUCUCUAGGGUUGGGGAAGUGAUUGUAACACCUUAGAAACACUUAUUGAUUGAAUCUCUUGGUCACGGGAAGAGAUUCGGAAAAAUGGUAGAUUUAGGAAAACUCUAAAUCUUGUAACUCUUUGUGGUUGAAUCUUUGUAAUCAAGUUGAAUCAUUCGUAGUGGAACGGAGAGCUCUCUCUCCCCCAGACUAGGUCAUUAUUGGACCGAACUGGGUAAAAAAUUUCGUCGUGUUCUUUAUUGCUUUCAUCGUUUAUUGUUGAUUUAUUAAUUAUUGCUCAUCCAUUUUGUUUUGGUUGCUUCAAUUCAUUUGUCCCACACAUCAAAAGUAUUAUUGGUGUGGUUUUCGAUCCGAAUUCACAACAAAAAUGUUAGAAGCACUUUUAGCUAAGCCCCUACUCCAACUAAACACGGAAAAAAGAAGAAAAAAAACCAAUCACCAAUCUACAUUGCCAUGCCUAUUUUUCUGUGAACUAGCUAAAUUCUGAUCUAUCCGAAUAACUGUAUAUGGCAG